rnacentral:rRNA from 1 species
UACAGAGGGUGCAAACGUUGCUCGGAAUCAUUGGGCGUAAAGCGCACGUAGGCGGUCCAGCAAGCGGGGAGUGAAAGCCCUCGGCUUAACCGAGGAAGUGCUUUCCGAACUACUGGACUUGAGUACUGAAGAGGGUCGCGGAAUUCCCGGUGUAGAGGUGAAAUUCGUAGAUAUCUGGAGGAACACCGGUGGCGAAGGCGGCGUCCUGGACCAACACUGACACUGAUGAGCGAAAGCCAGGGGAGCAAACGGG